rnacentral:rRNA from 1 species
UCGAACGCGAAAGCCCCGCAAGGGAUGAGUAGAGUGGCAAACGGGUGAGUAACGCGUGGGUGACCUGCCUUCGAGCGGGGGAUAACGUUCCGAAAGGGACGCUAAUACCGCAUGACAUCCUAUCUUUUAAGAGAUGGUGAUCAAAGCUGGGGAUCGCAAGACCUAGCACUCGAAGAGGGGCCCGCGUCCGAUUAGCUAGUUGGUGAGGUAACGGCUCACCAAGGCGACGAUCGGUAGCCGGCCUGAGAGGGCGGACGGCCACACUGGGACUGAGACACGACCCAGACUCCUACGGGAGGCAGCAGUGGGGAAUUGUUCGCAAUGGGCGCAAACCUGACGACGCAACGCCGCAUGGAGAAUGAAGAUCUUCGGGUCGUAAACUCCUUUCGAUCGAGACGAAUUCCUUUCGGGUGAACAAUCCGGAAGGUUGACGGUACCGAGAGAAGAAGCCCCGGCUAACUCCAUGCCAGCAGCCGCGGUAAUACGGGGGGGGCAAGCGUUGUUCGGAAUUACUGGGCGUAAAGGGCUCGUAGACGGCCAACUAAGUCAGACGUGAAAUCCCUCGGCUUAACCGGGGAACUGCAUCUGAUACUGGAUGGCUUGAGUUUGGGAGAGGGAUGCGGAAUUCCAGAUGUAGCGGUGAAAUGCGUAGAUAUCUGGGGGA